UACGAAGGGUGCAAGCGUUACUCGGAAUUACUGGGCGUAAAGCGUGCGUAGGUGGUUUGUUAAGUCUGUUGUGAAAGCCCCGGGCUCAACCUGGGAAUGGCAAUGGAUACUGGCAGGCUAGAGUGCGGUAGAGGGUAGUGGAAUUCCCGGUGUAGCGGUGAAAUGCGUAGAGAUCGGGAGGAACACCAGUGGCGAAGGCGGCUCACUGGCCCGGAACUGACGCUGAGGCACGAAAGCGUGGGGAGCAAACAGGG
rnacentral:rRNA from 1 species